UACGUAGGGCGCAAGCGUUAUCCGGAAUUAUUGGGCGUAAAGAGCUCGUAGGCGGUUUGUCGCGUCUGCCGUGAAAGUCCGGGGCUCAACUCCGGAUCUGCGGUGGGUACGGGGCAGACUAGAGUGAUGUAGGGGGAGACUGGGAAUUCCUGGUGUAGCGGUGAAAUGCGCAGAUAUCAGGAGGAACACCGAUGGCGAAGGCGGU
rnacentral:rRNA from 1 species